GGCCCCAUCGUCUAACGGUCAGGACAUCAGGUUUUCAUCCUGAAAAUCGGAGUUCGAUUCUCCGUGGGGUCACCA
rnacentral:tRNA from 1 species